UUUUGUAAACAAUUUAUUCUCAACAAUGUACAGAUCCAAGCAGUGACUACCAUUCACAUCCAUCACAUCUUUAUACAAAUAUCAUUACAAAAUCACUACAGUACAAUAAAGAUUCUUCACAUGAUCCAAAAUAUUUGGUGGCCCCCUAAAUUAUUCUUAUUAUUUAACCUUAAAAUUCAGCAGUUUAUAAAAACAACUUAAACCAUAUUCACUAUUCCAAAAAGAAGAAGUUUCUCUCACAUUAUUCAGCAAAAACGGGUGAAGGCAGACUUGGAGAAAUUCUUGUAAAGUUUUUUUCUUAUGGCUAAAUGAAAGUCACAGGCUAUUGUUACAGGUGUUCUUUAAAGGGGGGCUGAAAUUCCUGAUUUGGCCUAAUUUUUUGUUUUGGUCAUUAAGAAAUGCAGCGGCCAUGACUGAAGCCAAAAGAGUAGUCUUGGAGGGGGUGGUUUAAUGUGGAUGUCUCGUGGGUGUUCGCAUGCGGCAAGCGUUUGUACAUUCACUCUGUUAGAUAACUUGAAACAGCCUAACCAGGUCGUGUGUCUUGAAGUCACCUAGGCUAGCUAGCACUAGCCAACUUCUUUCUCCAAUUAGCUUCAGCAGGCUAGUGUGUGACCCUGGCAAAGUUGGUUUGACAAUGGAUAGCCCAUCUCUGGGGCUAUUUAGUGACCACCAAUAAAUUACAAUGUAAAUGGGAAAAUAUUUUAUUGUUCCACAUUUUUAGUUGUCUCAUUAAAUGUUUUUUUAUAUUUGUAUUAGAAUUUCUACCAUUUAUAGUCAUUUGAGGUUAAGUAAUUGAGAUGUGAAGCUAUUGACCUUUUAAAAUAUUUUCUGAUUUACAUUGUGUAAUUUACUGAUGUACCCUAACUAGCCUCAUAGGGAUAUCGAAUGUCAAACCAAAUGGACCAUGCGCAUUACGAUAGGGUCAGUGCAGCUGUGCUACGAAAUGAUGAUUACUUGGAUGCUGUCUGCUGCAGGAUUGAAAAAACCCAAACCUAAUGAAUUUAUGGGACCCUUCAAUCCAUGACACGUUUUUCACCGUCAUCUCGCAAAUCUGUUAUGGAUGAGACUGACUUUAUGACCAAAAUUAUCCUAUUUACACCUUGUAGUCAAUUUUGAUUAGAAUAAAUGUUUGACUCAUAGAUGCCAAAAUAGCUGUUUUCAAAACAAGAAUUUGCUUUUAGGGGCAGUCACUCUUUAGAGGAGAUAUUCUAAUAGACUAUGAUUUUUAAAAGAUUUCCCCCCGUUCUUCAAAAUUAAAGACUUCAAAAACGCAAACAUAGCUGUAAGACGCCAUGAGCAUAUUUGCGUUUGGCCUAAUGUGCAAGGUCUUUUUUCAUUAUUGAAAAUGACCAGCCAUUACGAAUCCCCAGCUAAAUCAUUCAGUUAUCAUCAAGGCAUCAUGUACAUAUUACAUUAACUAUCUAGACAUGUCUUACAAUCACUUUGCCACAGUUGCAUUCAUUAUGUGCAAGUUAACUCUUCCCAAUUGUAUAUUCUUAUUCCUCCAAAUUAUAGCUAAAUUUGAAUGCAUGAGCUUACCUAGUUACAAUUAUUAUUUCACACUGACCCUGGAUGUGUGUACAUCUCAGUGCCUUAUUGUGAGUUAGCACACAUAUCAAACAUUAGUGAACUGAACACCCAUAGACAGGAACAUCCUCUGUAGUUUAGGGUUAGCGCAGGCUUAAUAACCUCUUAUCGGUAAAGGGAGAUGGAAAAAGGCAUACAUUUGGAAACAAUAACGGUAAACACAGACCUCCUGAGGAUACUACAAACAAAUAUUCAAGUACAGAAGCUACACAUUAUAGCAGCGGCUAUAAUGGAGCGGCUAUGUCAUUAAGACGGCACACAAACAGUGAUUGUUCUAUGUAUUUUUCUUUUCAUAUUUUCUUGGGACGGUUUCCUGGACACAAAUUAAGCUUAGCACUACGUUUAAAAUGUGUCUGGGAAACAGGCCCUAAAUGUUUUUGUUGUUUUUAAUUCAGUGUGAUAAGGACAGAACCAAUCAAGCCAUGCGUCCUCCAAUUUUUGACAUGCCAAACAGCUGGAAUGUGACAAAGACAAAGUAAUGUCCACUCCAGGACAAAGGUGUGGCACAAAAACAAGAACUACAGAAACAAGCGCCUCCAUAUAUCCCAUUCCGUCUUUUUGUGCUACUUGAUAUUAGCCUGGUGAAAAAAAGAGCAAUUCAGUUUGGAUCCAGGCUAACUUGAAAUACCCAUGUUUUUGUUGUUACAAGUGUUAAAAUGUCUAAUUAUGUUCAACACAACCAUCCAAUUAAUUUUUAAAAAUAAAUACACCGUAUAAUAAAGAUUCAAGGAGACUUAAAUAUAUUUUAUUUUAAUUACCUAUUCAUCUAAGUUAAAGAUUGUUGGCUUUGGAAAGGUUUUGUGGCAAUACAUGAGCGUCUGCAGUAUUUCAUCUCCAGGCUUAGUUCACGCCAAUUAUCUUUUAGAGAAUUUAAGAUAUUGGGAAUCUUAUCUUUAAAAACAGGUCAAACACACACACUGGAAGUUUCCAUACACUUAGGUUGGAGUCAUUAAAAAUUGUUUUUCAACCACUCCACAAAUUUCUUGUUCACAAACUAGUUUUGGCAAGUCGGUUAGGACACCUACUUUGUGCAUGACAAGUAAUUUUUCCAACAAUUGUUUACAGACAGAUUAUUUCACUUAUAAUUCAUUGUAUCACAAUUCCAGUGGGUCAGAAGUUUACAUACACUAAGUUGAUUGUGCCUUUAAACAGCUUGGAAAAUUCCAGAAAACAUCAUGGCUUCAGAAGCAUCUGAUAGGCUAAUUGACAUAAUUUGAUUCAAUUGGAGGUGUACCUGUGGAUGUAUUUCAAGGCCUACCUUCAAACUCAGUGCCUCUUUGCUUGACAUCAUGGGAAAAUCAAAAGAAAAAAAUCAAAAGAAAUCAGCCAAUCAGACCUCCACAAGUCUGGUUCAUCCUUGGGAGCAAUUUCCAAACGCCUGAAGGUUCCACGCUCAUCUGUACAAACAAUAGUACGCAAGUAUAAACACCUGCGUAUGAUGGCUGCGUGGGACCACGCAGCCAUCAUACCGCUCAGGAAGGAGACACGUUCUGUCUCCUAGAAGUGAUCGUACUUUGGUGCGAUAAGUGCAAAUCAAUCCCAGACAGCAGCAAAGGACCUUGUGAAGAUGCUGGAGGAAACGGGUGCAAAAAUGUAAAUCCACAGUAAAAACGAGUCCUAUAACGACAUAACCUGAAUGGCCGCUCAGCAAGGAAGAAGCAAAUGCUCCAAAACUGCCAUAAAAAAGCCGGACUAGAGUUUGAACUGCACAUGGGGACAAAGAUCAUACUUUUUGGAGAAAUGUCCUCUGGUUUGAUCAAACAAAAAUAGAACUUUUUGGCCAUAAUGACCAUCAUCAUGUUUGGAGGAAAAAGGGGGAGGCUUGCAAGCCAAAGAAUACCAUCCCAACCGUGAAGCAUGGGGGUGGCAGCAUCAUGUUGUGGGGGUGCAAUGCUGCAGGAGGGACUGGUGCACUUCACAAAAUAAAUGGCAUCAUGAGGAGGAAAAUUAUGUGGAUAUAUUGAAGCAACAUCUCAAAUCAGUCAGAAAGUCAAAGCUUGGUCGCAAAUGGGUCUUCCAAAUGGACAAUGACCACAAGCGUACUUCCAAAGUUGUGGUAAAAUGGCUUAAGGACAACAAAGUCAAGGUAUUGGAGUGGCCAUCACAAAGCCCUGACCUCAAUCCAAAAGAAAAUGUAUGGGCAGAACUGAAAAAGCGUGUGUGAGCAUGGAGGCCUACAAACCUGACUUAGUUACACCAGCUCUGUCAGGAGGAAUGGGACAAAAUUCACCCAACUUAUUGUGGGAAGCUUGUGGAAGGCUACCCUAAAAGUUUGACCCAAGUUAAACAAUUUAAAGGCAAUUUUACCAAAUACUAAUUGAGUGUAUGUAAACUUCUGACAAACUGGGAAUGUGAUGAAAGAAAUAAAAGCUGAAAUAAAUCACUCUAUUAUUAUUCUGACAUUUCACUUUAUUAAAAUAAAAUGGUGAUCCUACCUAACUUAAGACAGGGAAUUUUUACUCGGAUUAAAUGUCAAGAAUUGUGAAAAACUGAAUUUAAAUGUAUUUGGCUAAGGUGUAUGUAAACUUCCGACUUCAACUGUGUAGGUGUAUGUACACAUACAUACAUACAUACAUACAUACAUACAUACAUACAUACAUACAUACAUACAUACAUACAUACACACGUAUAUAUACAUACACACGUAUAUAUACAUACAUACGUAUAUAUACAUACAUACGUAUACACACCUAUGUGUAUGUAUGGGGCGGCAGGGUAGCCUAGUGGUUAGAGCGUUGGACUAGUAACCGGAAGGUUGCAAGUUCAAACCCACGAGCUGACAAGGUACAAAUCUGUCGUUCAGCCCCUGAACAGGCAGUUAACCCACUGUUCCUAGGCCGUCAUUGAAAAUAAGAAUUUGUUCUUAACUGACUUGCCUAGUUAAAUAAAGGUAAAAUAAAAUAUAUAUACAUAUACUGUGUACAUACACUGACACAUACAUUCAUAUAUACAUAUGUAAAAACAUAUAUACAUACACAUAUAUGUAAAUACAUAUAUAUACACACACAUAUAUAUAUACACACACACACACGUGUAUAUAUAUAUAUACAUAUGUAAAUACAUAUACAUACACACACACACACACGUAUGUAUACAUAUGUAUACACAUAUAUAUACACACGUGUAUAUAUAUGUAUAAAUACAUAUAUAUAUACAUACAUAUAUAUAUGUAAAUACAUAUAUACACACACACACACGUGUGUGUAUAUAUAUAUAUAUACACACACACACACGUACACACACACACACGUAUAUAUAUAUGUAUACAUAUGUAUAUACAUAUGUAUAUACACAUACACACACAUGUAUUUACAUAUAUA
ensembl:lncRNA